rnacentral:rRNA from 1 species
GGCGAACGCUGGUGGCGUGCCUAACACAUGCAAGUCGAGCGAAGUGAGUACUACGGUACGAACUUAGCGGCGGACGGGUGAGUAACGCGUGGACAAUCUACCCUGUAGACUGGGAUAACACCUCGAAAGGGGUGCUAAUACCGGCUAAGUUCGAGAAGCGCCAUCGCUUUUCGGAGAAAGGAGGGAGUCCGCUAUAGGAGGAGUCCGCGUCCCAUUAGCUAGUUGGUGAGGGGAACGGCCCACCAAGGCGACGAUGGGUAGCCGGCCUGAGAGGGUGAACGGCCACACUGGAACUGAGACACGGUCCAGACUCCUACGAGAGGCAGCAGUGGGGAAUAUUGUGCAAUGGGGGAAACCCUGACACAGCAACGCCGCAUGAGCGAAGAAGGCCUUCGGGUUGUAAAGCUCAAUAGUAUGGGAAGAUAAUGACGGUACCAUACGAAAGCCCCGGCUAACUACGUGCCAGCCGCCGCCGUAAGAC